UACAGAGGUCCCGAGCGUUGUUCGGAUUUAUUGGGCGUAAAGGGUGCGUAGGCGGCGGAGUAAGUUGGGUGUGAAAUCCCGGGGCUCAACCUCGGAAUUGCAUCCAAUACUGCUUCGCUCGAGUACUGGAGAGGAGGCUGGAAUUUACGGUGUAGCAGUGAAAUGCGUAGAUAUCGAGAGGAACACCUGCGGCGAAGGCGGGUAGCUGGGCCGACACUGACGCUGAUGCGCGAAAGCCAGGGGAGCGAACGGG
rnacentral:rRNA from 1 species